rnacentral:tRNA from 1 species
GCGGACGUAGCUCAAUGGUAGAGCCUCUGCCUUCCAAGCAGAUCACGCGGGUUCGAUUCCCGUCGUCCGCUCCA